rnacentral:rRNA from 1 species
UGGGGAAUAUUGCACAAUGGGCGAAAGCCUGAUGCAGCAACGCCGCGUGAGUGAUGAGGGCCUUCGGGUUGUAAAGCUCUGUCUUCUGGGACGAUAAUGACGGUACCAGAGGAGGAAGCCACGGCUAACUACGUGCCAGCAGCCGCGGUAAUACGUAGGUGGCAAGCGUUGUCUGGAUUUACUGGGCGUAAAGGAUGCGUAGGCGGAUGCUUAAGUCAGAUGUGAAAAUCCCGGGCUUAACUUGGGAACUGCAUUUGAAACUGGGCAUCUAGAGUGUGGGAGAGGAAAGUGGAAUUCCUAGUGUAGCGGUGAAAUGCGUAGAGAUUAGGAAGAACACCAGUGGCGAAGGCGACUUUCUGGACCAUAACUGACGCUGAGGCAUGAAAGCGUGGGGAGCAAACAG